AGAGUUUGAUCCUGGCUCAGGACGAACGCUGGCGGCGCGCCUAACACAUGCAAGUCGAACGGAGCUAUAUUGAAAGCUUGCUGGAUAUAUAGCUUAGUGGCGGACGGGUGAGUAACACGUGAGCAACCUGCCUUUCAGAGUGGAAUAACGUUUGGAAACGAACGCUAAUACCGCAUAAUGUCAGAAGACGGCAUCGUCUUUUGACCAAAGAUUUAUCGCUGAAAGAUGGGCUCGCGGCCGAUUAGGUAGUUGGUGAGAUAAUAGCCCACCAAGCCGACGAUCGGUAGCCGGACUGAGAGGUUGAACGGCCACAUUGGGACUGAGACACGGCCCAGACUCCUACGGGAGGCAGCAGUGGGGGAUAUUGCACAAUGGGGGAAACCCUGAUGCAGCGACGCCGCGUGAGGGAAGACGGCCUUCGGGUUGUAAACCUCUGUCUUCGGGGACGAAUAAAUGACGGUACCCGAGGAGGAAGCCACGGCUAACUACGUGCCAGCAGCCGCGGUAAUACGUAGGUGGCAAGCGUUGUCCGGAAUUACUGGGUGUAAAGGGAGCGUAGGCGGGGAGGCAAGUUGAAUGUCUAAACUAUCGGCUCAACUGAUAGUCGCGUUCAAAACUGCCACUCUUGAGUGCAGUAGAGGUAGGCGGAAUUCCUAGUGUAGCGGUGAAAUGCGUAGAUAUUAGGAGGAACACCAGUGGCGAAGGCGGCCUACUGGGCUGUAACUGACGCUGAGGCUCGAAAGCGUGGGUAGCAAACAGGAUUAGAUACCCUGGUAGUCCACGCCGUAAACGAUGAUUACUAGGUGUGGGGGGACUGACCCCUUCCGUGCCGGAGUUAACACAAUAAGUAAUCCACCUGGGGAGUACGGCCGCAAGGCUGAAACUCAAAGGAAUUGACGGGGGCCCGCACAAGCAGUGGAGUAUGUGGUUUAAUUCGAAGCAACGCGAAGAACCU
rnacentral:rRNA from 1 species